AGCAGUAGCCGCGGUAAUACGUAGGGUGCAAGCGUUAAUCGGAAUUACUGGGCGUAAAGCGUGCGCAGGCGGUUAUAUAAGUCAGAUGUGAAAUCCCCGGGCUCAACCUGGGAACUGCAUUUGAGACUGUAUGGCUAGAGUGUGUCAGAGGGGGGUAGAAUUCCACGUGUAGCAGUGAAAUGCGUAGAUAUGUGGAGGAAUACCGAUGGCGAAGGCAGCCCCCUGGGAUAACACUGACGCUCAUGCACGAAAGCGUGGGGAGCAAACAGGAUUAGAUACCCCCGUAGUCCCUGUCUCUUAUAC
rnacentral:rRNA from 1 species